CGGAGGUAUUCGGGAGACAGGUGGUGCAUGGUUGUCGUCAGCUCGUGUCGUGAGAUGUUGGGUUAAGUCCCGUAACGAGCGCAACCCUUGUCCUUAGUUACCAGCACGUUAUGUGGGCACUCUAAGGAGACUGCCGGUGACAAACCGGAGGAAGGUGGGGAUGACGUCAAGUCAUCAUGGCCCUUACGGCCUGGGCUACACACGUGCUACAAUGGUCGGUACAAAGGGUUGCCAAGCCGCGAGGUGGAGCUAAUCCCAUAAAACCGAUCGUAGUCCGGAUCGCAGUCUGCAACUCGACUGCGUGAAGUCGGAAUCGCUAGUAAUCGUGAAUCAGAAUGUCACGGUGAAUACGUUCCCGGGCCUU
rnacentral:rRNA from 1 species